UACGGAGGGUGCAAGCGUUAUCCGGAUUCACUGGGUUUAAAGGGUGCGUAGGAGGGCAGGUAAGUCAGUGGUGAAAUCCCCGAGCUUAGCUUGGGAACUGCCGUUGAUACUAUCUGUCUUGAAUGUUGUGGAGGUGAGCGGAAUAUGUCAUGUAGCGGUGAAAUGCUUAGAUAUGACAUAGAACACCAAUUGCGAAGGCAGCUCGCUACACAAUUAUUGACUCUGAGGCACGAAAGCGUGGGGAUCAAACAGG
rnacentral:rRNA from 1 species